AAUUAAAUAAGUGUAUUCAAAGGAUGUUCCCAAAUCAUUUCAAUGAUGGUUUUAAUGAUGAACUAAAAAAAGGAAGGAAAAUUUUCGAAAAUCAGUCAUAUUUGGACUUCUAAUUAUGAUUCUAUUUUUAACAUGGAAUUUGUAUUUUUCAAAACAUUAUUGUAAAAUAAGAUACUGAGGUUCCAUUCUCUUGUUCAUAAAUAAAUUCAAACCGUUUGGGUCACAGAAAAAUGUGGGUACAACGAGUACAAAGAAAAGUACUCAAGCAGAAAUAAAGGAUAUUUUUGCAAAAGAAGUGAAACAAUCCUUCUAGAGCCUUGCCAGCAAAUAACUACCAUCUUUUCUCUUUUAACUCAAACCAAACCAUGCCAUGGGAUUUAUUUAAUCUUUAAUGCCCGGAAAUAAACUAAAACCGCAUUCUGUACACAAAAGAGAGAGCGGCAACCACCACCAGCAAUAUAGCAAUAGCAUACCAGCAGCAGCAGGAAAGGUUUAUCUUUUUUCUAGGAAUGCAGAUGAUUAGACGAGGACUAAAGCUAUAUCGCACCACACACCGACCCGACCGAGCGACCGCCGGUCCCGACCGUCUUUAGCUAUGCACGCAAUCCUUGCCAUAGCAACCGUCAUUACAAUAAAUUAACUGACAGUGUUUUCCUUUUAAUUAGACACAUUAACCCAAAUACAAUACGGCCAAUAAUAGUGAGCUAGGGUAUGCGGAAGAGGUACCUAGUUCCUGUGUUCUGUGUAGUUGCUAGUUGCCAUUUUGCCGGAUGAGACUAAAUGCUAAACUAGGCUGAACUUAGAUAGAAAUACAGAGAGAGAUGGAAAACUUCUUUGGCAUUUGCCCGGAUAUGGACAGAAUGGACAGGGACACAUACUCGUACACAAAGACGAUACGAGUCGUUCGGUUCUCUGGUCAAUCGGAAGAAAUUAAAGCAGUUUUGUUGGCUAGGCUGGGCUGAUGGGUUAGGGCUGGGCCAUGUUUCCAAAAUGGCAUCAACGCCUUGUGCCUUCUUCUUCCUUCGAAUUCGAAACUUUGCAAAUACCCAUCCAUGAGUUCAAGGAGUAUAUGAGCAAUAAAUACGGAUCAACUAUUGUUAUGGCCAGAAGAGAACCGUAUAUGGGGCUGAAGAACAUCAGGAAAUGUGUAUGGGAGUGUGCUGGGAAACCGACUAACCGGCCAACCGUUACCGUUGUUGUUCAUUGCAAAAAUGUGUGAACGAGGGUAGGAUAUUAUGUGGCAUAGUAUGUAUGAACCGGAUGUAGGAGGUAUUGGUGUUGGAUGGGGGAACAUGCGGCAAUGGUGUGUAUCGUGUAUGUACGGUACGUAAGCAAUACAGUAUAAAUAAUGCGUGGCAGUUGGGUAUACGAUUUUACCAAUUUUUUAUGUUUAAAAUUAAUUGAUUCUUCCUUGUUGCAUGGUAAUUAUGGAUGGUUUAACUUAUCCGUAGCAUAAUUGGACACUAAAUAAUAACAAUUGCAAUAUAAAUAACUGAUGGUAGGUACGGUAGGUGUUCUUAAUUUAUAAGCUCUACAUAUAUGAACAUGGUUGGAAUGUGUAUUCCGAUUUUUUUUUUAAUUGUAUAGGUAUUGUUUUUGUAUUUUUUAAUUAUGUUUAAGAAAAUACUGAAGAAAAUUUGGGUUUAAACGGUUCCUAACUGUUUUCUUUUUUAAAUUUUCGUUCUUAGGUGACCUUUUUAGUAAAAUGAAUUAUACUAGGGUUUGUGGGCUAU